AUUGAACGCUGGCGGCAGGCCUAACACAUGCAAGUCGAACGAGUGGCAGACGGGUGAGUAAUGUCUGGGCACCUGUCUGAUUGAGGGGGAUAACUACUGGACACGGUAGCUAAUACCCCAUACCAUCAGUUGUCCCGCGAUAGGAUUAGCUAGUUGGUGGGGUAACGGCUCACCAAGGCGACGAUCGCUAGCGGGUCUGAGUGGAGUACCAGCCACACGGGAACUGAGACACGGCCCAGACUCCGACGUGAGGCAGCGGUGGGGAAUAUGUGACAAUGGGCGCAAGCCGGAUGAAGCCAUGCCGCUUGUAUGAAGAAGGCCUUAGGGUUGUAAAGUAAUUUCAGCGGGGAGGCGUUACCCGCAGAAGAAGCACCGGCUAACUCCGGGCCAGCAGCCGCGGUAAUUC
rnacentral:rRNA from 1 species